GGCAGCUACACCUGGGAUUCCUGGCUGACGGAGGAGUUGUGCUGGAGGAGGUCCUGCCUGGUGGAGGCGGUCCAUCGUGGGGCAGAUGGAGCCUGACUCUAACGCCAGGACUCUGUGGCGUGGAGGAGCUGGGACUCCUGAGGACAGCCAGGACUCCACCAACAAGGACUCCACCAACAAGGAUUCCUCGACAUGAGCUGGACCAGAGGACAGCUGGUGGGGAGCCGUAGAUCUGGAGGAAGACCAUGACUCUACCAGCAAGUAUUCCAUACCAGGACUCCGUGGCUGAGGAGCUGUGAGUCUGGAGGAAGACCAGGACUCUGUCUACAGGUCUGUAACCAGACCGGGAAUCUGGACAACUGAUGGAGAAGCCAUACCUCUGACCAGGACUCCGUGGCAGAAGAGAGCUGAUGGAGGAGCUCUGACUCCGGAGAUCGACCAUGACUCUACUAGCAAGUAGUCCUUGACGCUGGUGAAAUCCGGUUUGGUCCAGGACCCACACCUGAUCUGAACCCAACCUGAUCCUGUUUGUUCCUCUCCCCUCAUCCUCAAGAAGAACUUCUGAGCUUCAGCAGUCUGAGGCUGAUGGAUCAAUUAACUCCAGUCUGAAUAACCUUGACCCCACAUGUACCCGUGUACUUCUACACUCCUUUCCCUCAUGUCUGUCACUAACUAACCUCACUACUUCACUGUCCUCUCUACUCCCUUCCGUUCCUCUUGCUUCUCCAUGGUUCGAACCAGCACUCUGAAGGAGUGUCUUCUUGCCCUCAGAGGGUUCAGUGUUAGGGUUGAGAGUCAGGGUUUAGAGUCAGGGACAGAGCUGGUUAGGGAGGAAGGGUUUUUGCACAUGCCUCUUCACUUGCUUGCUGAAUUGUUUUGACAUUUUGAAAUGAUUCAUUGGGAAAAUAUUUUACUGUGCUAUUACUGACAAAUAAAUAUUGUUGUACCAAAUGUCUUUUAUAAAUGUAAAUCCUACAUUGUGACUUAAGAUAUUUGAUUCUGUAAUUUGCCUUGGCUAUUGUCAAGCUAAACAUUUUAAUACAUUGCAUAUAUUUCAUGCAUAUUAUUCACAUAAUAGUUAAUAUAUGAUACAACUUCCAUAUAAACUACACAAUUCCAGUAUUCAUUUAGGUACCGACCGACCCACACAGGCCAUUAAUCUACCACCGUAACCAUUCCAGUAUCAAACCAAUACAGGAUAACUAGGACAUUGGAGAACGAGGUUUCACAAGAACAGCACCAAUAAUGUGUCAUGCCGACCUCAUUUUGGGCAAAAUCAUUUCUACAGGCCUGCGUCCACGUUACCUGACAAAAGGUUCUGUCUGAAGGGUUAAAAAGAUGGCUGACAUUCUAAGUUGAAAAUCCAAUAUUCUGAAUAAAAAUGUAGCUCAUUGCUCCACCUGUUUGAAA